GAAGCCUGCCAGGCCGUCGCUGGUGCAUGUCCCGAAAGGGCGCACUGGAGGAACGUCCGGACUGCACAGGGCAGCGUAGGAGGUAACACCUCUCCACCGAAAGCCGCAAGGUAUAAGGUGAGGAUCAGAGCAACAGAGACGAGCCGAUUGAGUUCGGGUGAAACGGGCAAUCUCUACGCGCAGCAACACCAAAUAGGCACACGAUGAUGCGGCCCGCGGAGUGUGCGGGUAGGUGGCACCGAGCCGGGUGGGUGACCCCCGGCCCAGAUGAAUGACGGUCACGCCCCGGGUCACCGGGGUGCACAGAAUCCGGCGUAUCGGCGGGCUUCACAC
rnacentral:RNase_P_RNA from 1 species